UCCCUGGUGGUCCAGUGGUUAGGACUCCAAGCUUCCACUGUGGCAGGGGCACGGGUUUGAUUGCUGUCUGGGGAA
rnacentral:tRNA from 1 species